AACAAACUCACACAUUCCUUUACAACUAACUUUGCUAAGAGUUUAAUUUACAGAUUGAUACUUCAGUUGUCAGAGAACUAGAUGAAACGCCUUGCACGCUACAUACCACUGUAUGGAGACAGGAUCACUACAAGGCCGUACUGUCUGGACAAACAGAAAAAGAAAAGAAGAGAACUGUUAGAAGAUGUCCCUUCUUAAAAAACUGCAAAAGAAAAUGAGGACAACAAAAACAAGCCUUGAUGAGGAAACUACAGAGGAAAGUAGGCCAACGAAAAAAGGAAGCAAGAAAAGAAAUGCUACCAAGUCUUCAAGAAAAAUCGAGAUGGGGGGAUUCAUGAGGAAAAGCAAGUCAGAAAACGCUGUGGUGGGGGAACCAGAAUUCUUAAUAUAUCCAAGGACUCAACCAAGAAAGAUCUUAUGUCUCAUGCCAAGGAACUAUUUUUUCCACAUGGCUUUCCACGUUAGUGCUUCAGACCAUAAGCCUGAUGCUCGGUGAGACGGAGAAAGGAGCUGCUCGCUUUAGCGCACUAACGUCCAAGCAGGGAAGCGUGACUGCAGACUUGCUCUUGGCUUUGGUGUGUGUGAUCCUGAGCUAAAGCCUUACAACUGCAAUUCUACAUCUCACACAGAGUCAGAGUCUCCCUUGAGCCCGUCUCAGGCUGUCCUCCUGUACCAGCGGUGCCACUUGCUCCUGACCUGCAUGCAGCACAACCCCUGUGUGAACACCUCCAUUAUUACAGAACUUAAAGAAGAGUUCAGGUGAGAGAGUCUGUUGUGGACGACUGGGUUUUAUAAGACGGUGUACAAGCCGAGACAAACAAAUGAGCUACUAGUAUCAGAUUUAGAUCACCAGAUAACCAAUGAGAUCCAAUCCUUCUCCAAAAGAGUUCGACUGAUCCAAAUGAUCGUCCAUUUACUGCAGUAUUUUAAUAAUCUGAUUAUCAGAAAAAUCACAGUUAACACAAUUCACAUUCAUCACAAAAUAAGUGCACUUACAGAAAGGUGACGCAUUAAA